GAGGGUAUAGCUCAGUGGUAGCGCGCAUGCUUAGCAUGCAGGAGGUCCUGGGUUCAAUCCCCAGUAAUCUCC
rnacentral:tRNA from 1 species